AGUGAACGCUGGCGGCAGGCCUAAUACAUGCAAGUCGAGCGAGCGGCGGACGGGUGAGGAAUGUAUGGGGACUGCCCGAUAGAGGGGGAUAACUGGUGGAAACGGUGGAUAAUACCGCCUCCUGUCGAAUAACCCAUAUGGGAUUAGCUAGUAGGUGGGGUAAAGGCUCACCUAGGCGACGAUCUCUAGCUGGUCUGAGAGGAUGAUCGGUCACACUGCGAAUGGGACACGGCCCAGACUCCUACGGAGGCAGCAGUGGGGAAUCUUGCACAAUGGGCGCAAGCCUGAUGCAGCCAUGCCGCGUGUAUGAAGAAGGCCUUAGGGUUGUAAAGUACUUCCAGCGGCGAGGCGUUACCCAAAGAAGAAGCACCGGCUAACUCCGUGCCAGCAGCCGCGGUAAUAC
rnacentral:rRNA from 1 species